rnacentral:rRNA from 1 species
UACGAAGGGGGCUAGCGUUGCUCGGAAUGACUGGGCGUAAAGGGCGCGUAGGCGGAUGGCUUUGUCGGGCGUGAAAUUCCAGGGCUUAACCUUGGGGCUGCGUUCGAGACGGGUUGUCUUGAGUGGGGAAGAGGGUCGUGGAAUUCCCAGUGUAGAGGUGAAAUUCGUAGAUAUUGGGAAGAACACCGGUGGGCGAAGGCGGCGACCUGGUCCUUUACUGACGCUGAGGCGCGAAAGCGUGGGGAGCAAACAGG